GUGCCAGCCGCCGCGGUAAUACGUAGGUGGCAAGCGUUAUCCGGAAUUAUUGGGCGUAAAGCGCGCGUAGGCGGUUUUUUAAGUCUGGUGUGAAAGCCCACGGCUCAACCGUGGAGGGUCAUUGGAGACUGGAAAACUUGAGUGCAGAAGAGGAAAGUGGAAUUCCAUGUGUAGCGGUGAAAUGCGCAGAGAUAUGGAGGAACACCAGUGGCGAAGGCGACUUUCUGGUCUGUAACUGACGCUGAUGUGCGAAAGCGUGGGGAUCAAACAGGAUUAGAUAC
rnacentral:rRNA from 1 species